GCCUGGGUGGCUUGGUUGGUUAAGUGUCUGACUUCGGCUCAGGUCACGAUCUCGCGGUAUGUGGGUUCGAGCCCCGCGUCAGGCU
rfam:Felis catus isolate Cinnamon breed Abyssinian chromosome D3, whole genome shotgun sequence.